ensembl:miRNA ocu-mir-350 ocu-mir-350
AAAGUGCAUGCGCUUUGGGACAGUGAGGAAAAUAAUGUUCACAAAGCCCAUACACUUUUA